AAUUGGAGGGCAAGUCUGGUGCCAGCAGCCGCGGUAAUUCCAGCUCCAAUAGCGUAUAUUAAAGUUGUUGCAGUUAAAAAGCUCGUAGUUGAAUUUCGGGAUCAAUAUUUCGGUCAUGCCGUUGGUAUGCACUGUUAUCAUUGAUUUCUCACCUUCUAAAGAACCGUAAUGCCAUUAAUUUGGUGUUACGGGGAAUUAGGACUGUUACCUUGAAAAAAUUAGAGUGCUUAAAGCAGGCUCACGCUUGAAUACAUUAGCAUGGAAUAAUGAAAUAGGACAUCCGAUUCUAUUUUGUUGGUUUCUAGGAUCGAUGUAAUGAUUAAUAGGGAUAGUUGGGGGCAUUAGUAUUCAAUUGUCAGAGGUGAAAUUCUUGGAUUUAUUGAAGACUAACUACUGCGAAAGCAUUUGCCAAGGAUGUUUUCAUUAAUCAAGAACGAAAGUUAGGGGAUCGAAGACGAUCAGAUACCGUCGUAGUCUUAACCAUAAACUAUGCCGACUAGGGAUCGGAUGAUGUUAAUUUUUUAAUGACUCAUUCGGCGCCUUACGGGAAACCAAAGUGU
rnacentral:rRNA from 1 species